CUGAUAUCAGCAACAAACACACAAACCACUCAGCCAGGCUUUUAUUUAAAGAGAUUUACAUAUUUUAUUGUAAGUGUGUGUAAAAUGGGUUUCAACAAGCGCGUGACGUGGACACGCAAAAAAAAAAAAAAAAAAAAGAAAUCUGGCUGUUGUUUGAUUUGAUAAGAUAAUAGAGCAUUUUAAAACAAAUACAAUUAAUCAGUUUAAGGGAUGUACACAAUUAUUUUAAAUCAGUCUGAACUAAAUCCAAAAUAAAGGUUAAAAUAAUUAAUUUCUGUCGAAACAACGAAAAAGAAUGAUUCGAGUCAAACUACUACUAUUGCGCAUGCGCUGAUGACCGGAAAUCCACGUGACCUCGUCAGUUCGCGCGUGUGCCAUUAACGAGCUGGAGUCCAGUCUGUGGUGGAGUGCUGCGGUCAGCGUGAUUAAACCGCAGAACAGAUCUCUCUUAACACAGACUUUAAGAAGAAGAGAUGGAUGUGUGCUUCAAGAGAAGGACAGAUCUGAGUCUCUCAGGAGCAGGAGAUGAUGCCCUCGUGCAGGAGAUGAUGACCUCGUGCAGGAGAUGAUGACCUCGUGCAGGAGAUGAUGACCUCGUGCAGGAGAUGAUGACCUCGUGCAGGAGAUGAUGACCUCGUGCAGGAGAUGAUGCCCUCGUGCAGGAGAUGAUGACCUCGUGCAGGAGAUGAUGACCUCGUGCAGGAGAUGAUGACCUCGUGCAGGAGAUGAUGCCCUCGUGCAGGAGAUGAUGACCUCGUGCAGGAGAUGAUGACCUCGUGCAGGAGAUGAUGACCUCGUGCAGGAGAUGAUGACCUCGUGCAGGAGAUGAUGACCUCGUGCAGGAGAUGAUGACCUCAUGGAGACAUGAAGCCGAACACAUCGCUGUAGUGUUUCCUGCUGCGUCUCACACAUCACGAGAAGACAAGAAACACACUGUACACAGUACACAUAACACGCAAUAGAAGUAACUUGACUUUAAAAUAUAAGUUUAAUGAAGCAUCACAGA